rnacentral:misc_RNA from 1 species
AACCAUAGAAACCUGCGGAGUACCUGCGGAAGGAUCAUUCAAGGAUUAUUAUAUUGUUGUAUAUAUGAAGGGUGGUUUAACCUGGGUGUUAUAACACACCUUUUGUAUAUACACAAUAUUACUUUUACACCUAACUAAUGUUUUGUGGGGGGUGGUGAGUAGGUAGGAGUCAUUGAUAAAGAGAUGUUUUAUAGCUUUGUUUGUAAUGCAUCUUUUUUCAAAGACUUUUACCACCACCAC